rnacentral:lncRNA from 1 species
UCGAAAUAAGUUCUCUAGUACAAUAAACCUUUGAGGGGUAAUGUUUUAAGCAUCCGACCACUCGAUAAGCAACAUAGACUGAAACACAUACACACUAUUACACAAAAAACUUCUUGCUAAAACUGACAUUCAAGGUGUCAAAGGAUCGGAAUAAUAACCCUGUUACCCAAUCAACUGGAUGAUUUUGUUCAUGUAAAUUAUCUCCAUGGGCUGAACGUGAAUUGACUAGUUCCCUUCCAUCUGCCCAUAAGGUGGCAUUAUACAUGUGUUUAUGCAUUAAGAAAGUCAAGAAAGAAUGAAAUGGAUGAUAUGGUACACCUGAUCUGUAUUUACUUCACGUUCUAUUUCUACCAGCAAUACGAGAGGAUACAUCAACCUCGGUUGAGUAGAGCUGAGAGCCAUUACGAUUCGUCAGUUGAAAAAUUCCCCAAACCAAUAUACCAGAACCAGCACCGAGCACUUGGUUGACACGACCUGCAACCAACAUAGUGAAAAUUAACAGAGUUGAACCACGGGUGAAGUAAAUAUAGUGUGGUUGGGAGAAAAAAAACUACAAAGAGGUUGAAGAUGGAGGGGCAACCUGGUGGAUCGAAGACGCAUGGCUGCUAGCGUGCUAGGGGGAAGCUCCAUGGAGUCGGUGGACGUAUCCUCAGGCAGCCGAGGUUAGGUCCUGCCCUGGUGUGUUGUGCUGACCUCCGGUAGAGGCCAAUCUUGAAGCCUUGGCGAGGUGGAUGCGGCCAUGGCGGAUUUGACU